ensembl:lncRNA
GCUGGACCUCCUUGCUCAUUUACAUUACCUGCCAGUCCCCAGAGACCAUGCGCUUGCAGGUCUCACUCACAAACCCAGACUAUCUGUACCCCGCCACAUUGAAGAUCAAACUGCCAGCUGACCCAAAUUUGCCAGUUCCCGUUCUGAGCCUCCGGGGGAAGCCAAGCUCCAGCUGAGGCCCAUGACCAUCCCAGAGCCCUCACUGCAGUGGCCCUACAGUACAGUGCUGCCUUUCUGACAUUCCCCUCACCAAGCAGGGGAAGGAGGGGUGUCUCCUGCUCUGGGAUCUGGAACUGGAGCUCUGUGGCUGUGUGGACAGCAGGAUGGGGCAGGCGUGGUGCUGGGUCCUGGCCAUGUUCUGGGUUCGGUCUGAGUGCAUCCCCAAGGACUUGUGUGUUGGAAGCUCUGUUCUUGGUGUGGUCAUGUUAGGAAGUGGGGGGCUUUGAAGAGGUGGGGCCUCGUAGGAGGUCACUGGGUCUUGGAGGUGCUUCCCAUGCAGCGGGUUAAAGUGGCUCCCAUGAAACCCUGAGUGCCUUUUCUCCAGAGAGCUCCCCUGCUCUGGCUUCCUGUCUCACUGUGACAUCACUUCCUCCCCUGUGGAUGCUCACUGUGAUGCUGGACAUCAUGAGAUCCUCAUUAGAGCUGAGCUCACGCUGGCUCCAGGAACUGUGAGCCAAAUAAAUCUCUUUGUUCUAUAAAAUAUCCAGCAUCUGAUAUUUUGAUACAGUAACACAGUCCACUUCCAGGCCAACCCCAGAAACUUGCUAUUUCCACUCUCUGUCUCUUGGACAACUUGUUCUUAGAACUAAGCCACCCCAAUAUGAAGACACUCAAGUCACUGAGCAGACAGACUUCUUUGGGGAGCCACCACCUGCAUGGACUCACCAGAUUCUUGCAGGCGACAGCUAUGGAUCAUUCUGAGCCUGUCUUCUCUAGGCCUGGAUGUGGGGUAAGGACAGUGUGACAAGUGGCCUGAUAAUGCUGGAAAUGUAGGUCACGGUUUAGUUUCCUGAGCCACAGCCUGCAGUUCUGCUCUGCGCGAGCAUUCUGGAGGCAACACCAUCUUAGUACAAGGGUGCUUGGUACAUUUCUUUUAAAAAUUAGGUUUUUGGAGCCCUGGUUUUGUACCUGAAGUCAACUCUACGAUAGCUUCUGAG